rnacentral:tRNA from 1 species
GUGGUAUUGGUCUAGGGGUUAUGAUUUGUGGCUUCCAACCAUGAGACAUCGGUUCGAAUCCGAUAUACCACA